UCCGAGUUGACCCCGGCAGUCUCCCACGAGUCCCCGCCAUUACGCGCUGGCAACAUAGGAUAAGGGUUGCGCUCGUUGCGGGACUUAACCCAACAUCUCACGACACGAGCUGACGACAGCCAUGCAGCACCUGUGCUAGCCCCUUGCGGACACGUGCUUUCACACGCUUUAACUAGCAUGUCAAGCCUAGGUAAGGUUCUUCGCGUUGCAUCGAAUUAAGCCACAUGCUCCGCCGCUUGUGCGGGCCCCCGUCAACUCUUUUGAGUUUUAGCCUUGCGGCCGUACUCCCCAGGCGGAACACUUAUCGCGUUGGCUACGGCACCGAGGGAUUCGACUCCCCCAACACCUAGUGUUCAUCGUUUACGGCGUGGACUAC
rnacentral:misc_RNA from 1 species